ACAGCACAGACCUCAAGCCAAGUCUCUCCUCGCCACUGACAGCUGCGUGAACUUCACCAGAGCCAUCGUCUUACAGAACUGGCUUCCUUGUCUAUAAAAGGGGGUUAUGGUAAGCAGAAUAAUGGCCCUUUUCCCCCUAAAAUAUUCACAUCUUAAUUCCUGGAACCUGUAACCAUGUUACUUUAAAAAGCAAAAAGAAAUUUGUGGAUGUGAUUUAUGAUCUUGAGACCGGGAGAGUAUGCUGGAUUAUACAGGCAGAUCCAAUGGAAUCUCAAGGGUCUUCUUGAGAGAACAGAAGGGUCAGAGUCAGAGAAGGAGAUGUGACUAUGGAAACAGAAGUCAGAAUGAUGCUGUUGCUGGCUUUGAGGAUGGAAAGUUGAUGGAAACGUGGGUUUAGGAAUGCAGUGGCCUCUGUAACCUGGAAAAGGCAAAGAACUGACUCUUCCCUAGAGCCUCCAGAGGAGCACAGCCCUGCCAGUACCUUGGUUUUAGUCCCUUGAGACCCGUUUCAGACUUACUUCCAGAACUGUAAGAUGAUAUAUGUUUGUGUCAAUUUAAGCCACUAAAUAUGUGGCAAUUUGUUAUAUUAGCAAAAGGAAACUAAUAUGUGAGGCAAAACCAAAAUUCUUGUCUACCUCUAAGGGCUGCUGGGAGAGUCAAAUGAAAUCCUUUAUGUAGUGACACUUUAAAAACUGGAACCCACUAUCCAAAUAUAAGGCACUGUCAUUAUUGGCAUUAUUGACUACUUGAGAGAAGAAACAGGGACAGAUAAGCACAGUGGUACACUGGUGGAUGUUUAACCACCAGUUCUUGGUAGCAAGAUGGGAUGGGGGUAUUCUGAUUUGUAACAUUUGCUUAUUUCCAGGGAAUAAAUACUUCCACCAUGUCCCAUUUCAAGCUACAACAUGAAGUCACUGAAACAGGAGGUGGUAAAAGAUACACAUAAUCAACUCUCACCACUGCAAGGCAGCUCCAACACACCAGGAUUUGACAGGGAGUUUCAUCCAACAAAUACAAAUUGGGCACCUCCUAUGUUCCAGUGCUGGGCUCACGAAAGACGGAACAACAAUCUGACGUGGUCCCUGUUCUCAAGGAGCUCACAGGACAGUCCCACGUUUCUUAGACCUCAGUUCCUCAUGUCUCACGUUCAGGUCUUCUGCAAAACAUGUACCACCUAUGCUUAUGGUUAA
rnacentral:lncRNA from 13 species